GAGGUCCCUGGACUACGUGAGCUCCUUGGCUAUAUCCCACCCGAGUCAUUUUACUGCAGGGGUUUUUCAUUUCCUGAGAGGGACUACGCAAAAGAUGCGUGAAGGGAAGGAGCCUGCUCUGCUGCUCAGGAAAGUGGGCACAGAGAAGAUAGAGAACACACAGAGGACAUCAGGCUCAGCCCCAGCCUGCCUCUGCCACGGUGCAGGUCCCUGUCCUCGACAUGCCGGGCAUUCUCCUGGGAGGUGUGCUGGACUUGGGCUUGUUACUUUCAACUGAUUGGAUGCCACUGAGUUCAGAGAGAGGCUGCACCAGCUGACUUGGGUGUUAACCCAGUCACUGUUUGUGAAUGGGCUUGUCCUAACAGAUACCCACGACCGAGGAGGACUCUCUGAGGAGUGUCUGCACACGCGGCCCAGCUGUGUCUCCCCUCAGCUGUGUUUCUGUGACUUGAUCCAUUCUUUUCUUGUCUGUUGCAAACGUGCCUCACUUUGUCAUUUGUUUCAAAGACAUGAUUUAGUUGUGUGUCUGUGUGUGGGUUUGUACACAUGGGUGCAGGUACCCUCAGAGGUGCCAGGCGCCCCCAGCCCUGGAGGUACAAGCACUUGAGUGUUGCCUGACAAUGGCACUGGGCAAUGAACUCAGGUCCUCUGUGAGAGCAGCGUGCACUCCCAGCAACUGAGCCUUCUCUCCAGAUGCUAAACUUUGCUAUUUAACUUCAAUCCUUUAUAGAGUUUCCAAGGCUGUAUCCAUUGGUUAUUUUUCUCUUUGUGCUCCCUCAUUGUGUUUCACUUUAAAAGUCUUCGCUACCGGGAGGUCAUUAAAUAUUUUCUAAACUUUAA